rnacentral:rRNA from 1 species
UACGAAGGGGGCUAGCGUUGCUCGGAAUCACUGGGCGUAAAGGGCGCGUAGGCGGCCAUUCAAGUCGGGGGUGAAAGCCUGUGGCUCAACCACAGAAUUGCCUUCGAUACUGUUUGGCUUGAGUUUGGUGGAGGUUGGUGGAACUGCGAGUGUAGAGGUGAAAUUCGUAGAUAUUCGCAAGAACACCAGUGGCGAAGGCGGCCAACUGGACCAACACUGACGCUGAGGCGCGAAAGCGUGGGGAGCAAACAGG